UCUUGGCCAGCCUUCUGAAAGGAAGAUUAAUACAAGAUGGCAUCAUGAGUCCACAUGUUCACAUGAUUAAAGGUAUUCCGGUAGACGAUGGGGAUGCGUUCCAUUAGAUAGUAGGCGGGGUAACGGCCCACCUAGUCUUCGAUGGAUAGGGGUUCUGAGAGGAAGGUCCCCCACAUUGGAACUGAGACACGGUCCAAACUCCUACGGGAGGCAGCAGUGAGGAAUAUUGGUCAAUGGGCGAGAGCCUGAACCAGCCAAGUAGCGUGAAGGAUGACUGCCCUAUGGGUUGUAAACUUCUUUUAUAAAGGAAUAAAGUCGGGUAUGGAUACCCGUUUGCAUGUACUUUAUGAAUAAGGAUCGGCUAACUCCGUGCCAGCAGCCGCGGUAAUACGGAGGAUCCGAGCGUUAUCCGGAUUUAUUGGGUUUAAAGGGAGCGUAGAUGGAUGUUUAAGUCAGUUGUGAAAGUUUGCGGCUCAACCGUAAAAUUGCAGUUGAUACUGGAUAUCUUGAGUGCAGUUGAGGCAGGCGGAAUUCGUGGUGUAGCGGUGAAAUGCUUAGAUAUCACGAAGAACUCCGAUUGCGAAGGCAGCCUGCUAAGCUGCAACUGACAUUGAGGCUCGAAAGUGUGGGUAUCAAACAGGAUUAGAUACCCUGGUAGUCCACACGGUAAACGAUGAAUACUCGCUGUUUGCGAUAUACGGCAAGCGGCCAAGCGAAAGCGUUAAGUAUUCCACCUGGGGAGUACGCCGGCAACGGUGAAACUCAAAGGAAUUGACGGGGGCCCGCACAAGCGGAGGAACAUGUGGUUUAAUUCGAUGAUACGCGAGGAACCUUACCCGGGCUUAAAUUGCAGAUGAAUUACGGUGAAAGCCGUAAGCCGCAAGGCAUCUGUGAAGGUGCUGCAUGGUUGUCGUCAGCUCGUGCCGUGAGGUGUCGGCUUAAGUGCCAUAACGAGCGCAACCCUUGUUGUCAGUUACUAACAGGAUUUGCUGAGGACUCUGACAAGACUGCCAUCGUAAGAUGUGAGGAA
rnacentral:rRNA from 1 species